CAGUCGCCGCGGGAAUACGUAGGUCCCGAGCGUUGUCCGGAUUUAUUGGGCGUAAAGCGAGCGCAGGCGGUUAGAUAAGUCUGAAGUUAAAGGCUGUGGCUUAACCAUAGUACGCUUUGGAAACUGUUUAACUUGAGUGCAAGAGGGGAGAGUGGAAUUCCAUGUGUAGCGGUGAAAUGCGUAGAUAUAUGGAGGAACACCGGUGGCGAAAGCGGUUCUCUGGUCUGUAACUGACGCUGAGGCUCGAAAGCGUGGGGAGCAAACAGGAUUAGAUACCCCAGUAGUUCCUGUCUCUUAUACA
rnacentral:rRNA from 1 species